GGUUAAGCGACUAAGCGUACACGGUGGAUGCCUAGGCAGUCAGAGGCGAUGAAGGGCGUGCUAAUCUGCGAAAAGCGUCGGUAAGCUGAUAUGAAGCGUUAUAACCGACGAUACCCGAAUGGGGAAACCCAGUGCAAUACGUUGCACUAUCGUUAGAUGAAUACAUAGUCUAACGAGGCGAACCGGGGGAACUGAAACAUCUAAGUACCCCGAGGAAAAGAAAUCAACCGAGAUUCCCCCAGUAGCGGCGAGCGAACGGGGAGGAGCCCAGAGUCUGAAUCAGUUUGUGUGUUAGUGGAAGCGUCUGGAAAGUCGCACGGUACAGGGUGAUAGUCCCGUACACCAAAAUGCACAGGCUGUGAACUCGAUGAGUAGGGCGGGACACGUGACAUCCUGUCUGAAUAUGGGGGGACCAUCCUCCAAGGCUAAAUACUCCUGACUGACCGAUAGUGAACCAGUACCGUGAGGGAAAGGCGAAAAGAACCCCGGCGAGGGGAGUGAAAUAGAACCUGAAACCGUGUACGUACAAGCAGUGGGAGCACCUUCGUGGUGUGACUGCGUACCUUUUGUAUAAUGGGUCAGCGACUUAUAUUUUGUAGCAAGGUUAACCGAAUAGGGGAGCCGUAGGGAAACCGAGUCUAAACUGGGCGUCUAGUUGCAAGGUAUAGACCCGAAACCCGGUGAUCUAGCCAUGGGCAGGUUGAAGGUUGGGUAACACUAACUGGAGGACCGAACCGACUAAUGUUGAAAAAUUAGCGGAUGACUUGUGGCUGGGGGUGAAAGGCCAAUCAAACCGGGAGAUAGCUGGUUCUCCCCGAAAGCUAUUUAGGUAGCGCCUCGUGAACUCAUCUUCGGGGGUAGAGCACUGUUUCGGCUAGGGGGCCAUCCCGGCUUACCAAACCGAUGCAAACUCCGAAUACCGAAGAAUGUUAUCACGGGAGACACACGGCGGGUGCUAACGUCCGUCGUGAAGAGGGAAACAACCCAGACCGCCAGCUAAGGUCCCAAAGUCAUGGUUAAGUGGGAAACGAUGUGGGAAGGCACAGACAGCCAGGAUGUUGGCUUAGAAGCAGCCAUCAUUUAAAGAAAGCGUAAUAGCUCACUGGUCGAGUCGGCCUGCGCGGAAGAUGUAACGGGGCUAAACCAUGCACCGAAGCUGCGGCAGCGACACUUAGGUGUUGUUGGGUAGGGGAGCGUUCUGUAAGCCGUUGAAGGUGACCUGUGAGGGUUGCUGGAGGUAUCAGAAGUGCGAAUGCUGACAUAAGUAACGAUAAUGCGGGUGAAAAACCCGCACGCCGGAAGACCAAGGGUUCCUGUCCAACGUUAAUCGGGGCAGGGUGAGUCGACCCCUAAGGCGAGGCUGAAAAGCGUAGUCGAUGGGAAACAGGUUAAUAUUCCUGUACUUGGUGUUACUGCGAAGGGGGGACGGAGAAGGCUAGGCUGGCCGGGCGACGGUUGUCCCGGUUUAAGCGUGUAGGGGGAGUGACCAGGUAAAUCCGGUUGCUUAUCAACCCUGAGGCGUGAUGACGAUGCACCACGGUGCAGAAGCAGUUGAUGCCAUGCUUCCAGGAAAAGCCUCUAAGCAUCAGGUAACAUUAAAUCGUACCCCAAACCGACACAGGUGGUCAGGUAGAGAAUACUCAGGCGCUUGAGAGAACUCGGGUGAAGGAACUAGGCAAAAUGGUGCCGUAACUUCGGGAGAAGGCACGCUGGCGUUAGGUGAAAGGACUAGCUCCUGGAGCUGAAGCCAGUCGCAGAUACCAGCUGGCUGCAACUGUUUAAUAAAAACACAGCACUGUGCAAACACGAAAGUGGACGUAUACGGUGUGACGCCUGCCCGGUGCUGGAAGGUUAAUUGAUGGGGUCAGCCGCAAGGCGAAGCUCUUGAUCGAAGCCCCAGUAAACGGCGGCCGUAACUAUAACGGUCCUAAGGUAGCGAAAUUCCUUGUCGGGUAAGUUCCGACCUGCACGAAUGGCGUAAUGAUGGCCAGGCUGUCUCCACCCGAGACUCAGUGAAAUUGAACUCGCUGUGAAGAUGCAGUGUACCCGCGGCAAGACGGAAAGACCCCGUGAACCUUUACUAUAGCUUGACACUGAACAUUGAGCCUUGAUGUGUAGGAUAGGUGGGAGGCCUUGAAGUGUGGACGCCAGUCUGCAUGGAGCCAACCUUGAAAUACCACCCUUUAAUGUUUGAUGUUCUAACUCGGCCCCAUGAUCUGGGGUGAGGACAGUGUCUGGUGGGUAGUUUGACUGGGGCGGUCUCCUCCCAAAGAGUAACGGAGGAGCACGAAGGUUAGCUAAUCACGGUCGGACAUCGUGAGGUUAGUGCAAAGGCAUAAGCUAGCUUGACUGCGAGAGUGACGGCUCGAGCAGGUACGAAAGUAGGUCUUAGUGAUCCGGUGGUUCUGAAUGGAAGGGCCAUCGCUCAACGGAUAAAAGGUACUCCGGGGAUAACAGGCUGAUACCGCCCAAGAGUUCAUAUCGACGGCGGUGUUUGGCACCUCGAUGUCGGCUCAUCACAUCCUGGGGCUGAAGUAGGUCCCAAGGGUAUGGCUGUUCGCCAUUUAAAGUGGUACGCGAGCUGGGUUUAGAACGUCGUGAGACAGUUCGGUCCCUAUCUGCCGUGGGCGUUGGAAGAUUGAGAGGGGCUGCUCCUAGUACGAGAGGACCGGAGUGGACGAAUCACUGGUGUUCGGGUUGUCAUGCCAAUGGCAUUGCCCGGUAGCUAAAUUCGGAAGAGAUAACCGCUGAAAGCAUCUAAGCGGGAAACUUGCCUCGAGAUGAGUCUUCCCUGGGGCUUAAAGCCCCCUGAAGGAACGUUAAAGACUAUGACGUUGAUAGGCUGGGUGUGUAAGUGCAGCGAUGUAUUGAGCUAACCAGUACUAAUGAUCCGUGAGGCUUAACCUU
rnacentral:rRNA from 1 species